rnacentral:rRNA from 1 species
GCACAAGCGGUGGAGCAUGUGGUUUAAUUCGACGCAACGCGAAGAACCUUACCUGGGCUCGAAAUGUAGUGGAAUCCGGCAGAAACGUCGGCGUCUAGCAAUAGACCGCUAUAUAGGUGCUGCAUGGCUGUCGUCAGCUCGUGUCGUGAGAUGUUGGGUUAAGUCCCGCAACGAGCGCAACCCUUAUCUUCAGUUGCUACCAUUUAGUUGAGCACUCUGACGAAACCGCCUCGGAUAACGGGGAGGAAGGUGGGGAUGACGUCAAGUCCUCAUGGCCUUUAUGUCCAGGGCUACACACGUGCUACAAUGGUCGGUACAAACCGUCGCAAACCCGUGAGGGGGAGCUAAUCGGAAAAAGCCGGCCUCAGUUCGGAUUGGAGUCUGCAACUCGACUCCAUGAAGCUGGAAUCGCUAGUAAUCGCGGAUCAGAACGCCGCGGUGAAUACGUUCCCGGGC